GACGUAGGGGCGAGCGUUGUCCGGAUUUAUUGGGCGUAAAGAGCUCGUAGGCGGCUCAGCAAGUCGGGUGUGAAACCUCCAGGCUCAACCUGGAGACGCCACCUGAUACUGCUGUGGCUAGAGUCCGGUAGGGGAGCGUGGAAUUCCUGGUGUAGCGGUGAAAUGCGCAGAUAUCAGGAGGAACACCAGCGGCGAAGGCGGCGCUCUGGGCCGGUACUGACACUGAGGAGCGAAAGCGUGGGUAGGCAAACAGG
rnacentral:rRNA from 1 species